rnacentral:rRNA from 1 species
UACAGAGGGGGGCAAGCGUUGUUCGGAAUUACUGGGCGUAAAGGGCGCGUAGGCGGCCCGCUAAGUCGAACGUGAAAUCCCCAGGCUCAACCUGGGAACUGCGUCUGAUACUGGAUGGCUUGAAUCCGGGAGAGGGAUGCAGAAUUCCAGGUGUAGCGGUGAAAUGCGUAGAUAUCUGGAGGAAUACCGGUGGCGAAGGCGGCAUCCUGGACCGGCAUUGACGCUGAGGAGCGAAAGCCAGGGGAGCAAAGCGGGG